UGUGUGAGAAAAGGAUAAGUUGCAAACAUAACAAUUAAAAUGAAAAAAAAAAUACAUGCAGUACUUAUAUGAGCCGAGAAAAAAAGGCUUUUAAUCUUAGUGCGUCUCAGUUUAUGAACUUUUCUGAAAAAGAUAUAAAUUCUGAAUUUGAUCCUAUUGUGGAGGGGUGCACUUUAAAAAGCUCCCUUGAUUUUUCGCUAAGCAGCGAUAGCGAUAUUAGUGAUAGUGAUAGUGUAAAUUUAAAAAUGAUAGAAAAUAAUAUAUUUAGCUUAGAAUUAAAAGCAUGGGCUUUAAGAAAUAGGGUAUCCCACAAUACAUUGAGCGAUCUGUUGCAAACGCUGCGAAAAAUAGGUUGCACUGAUUUACCUUUAACGGCUAAAAGUCUCCUAGGUACCAACCGAAAAAAGGUAAAUAUUCAAACGAUUCCAAGUGGAUCUUUUUUAUAUAGAGGAAUUCAAAAUUAUUUUAAGAAUAAUUUAUUUCCUCAACUGGAAAAUACGAAUACCAUUUUGCUUGAUGUGGGAAUAGAUGGCCUUAAAUUAUUCAAAAAUUCAAAUAAAGUAUUGUGGCCUAUUUUAGCGUCCAUAGUUGAUUUUCCAAACGUAUUUCCGUUUACAAUUGCGUGCUUUUCUGGAACAGAAAAACCUUGGAACAUCAAUGAUUUUUUGAAAGAAUUUUGCGGAGAGGUAAAUUAUUUAAAAAAAAAAAAAUGGCCUUCAAGUUAGUGUUUAUCCUAUAAAGAAAAAAUCUGAUAUUCGUUUAUUUUGCAGCGAUGCUCCUGCUAGAGCUUUUGUUACAGGUGUGCAAUCGCACACUGGAAAAAGUAGCUGUUCUAAAUGUGAUCAAAUUGGUGACUAUAAAGAACGGAGAGUUUGUUUUACAAAACAAAUAAAAAAUUUAAGGACUGACCUGUCUUUUAAAAAUAGAAAUGACAGAUCACAUCACAUCACUCCUUUUAAAUUUAGAGAAAGCAUUUUAGAGUCAGGAAAUUUCAAAAUGGAUUCUCAAUUUCCUUUAGACCCGAUGCACCUUGUAGAUCUUGGUGUAUGUAAAAAGUAACAUUUCUCUCCAAUUUAGUUUCUUCAGAGUUCGGCCGAAUAUGUAGAAGUUUAGAUGAAAUCAAUAUUUGGAAAGCGACAGAGUUUAGGCUGUUCUUAUUGUAUAUAAGUAGGUAUAUUUGCUCUAAAAGAUUGCGUUAGUGGUGACCAUUACUACCAUUUCCUCUUAUUGCACGCAGGUAUAAGGCUACUAUCAUGCAAGAAGUCAUAUAGCACUGAAGCCAACGUUGCCCAACAAAUCUUGGAAGAAUUCGUUGAUUUGUUUGGAAAUAUAUACGGAGACCAUUUAGUUAGUUACAACAUACAUGGUUUACUCCAUUUAACUGAAUGUACUAAGCUAUAUGGGCCUCUAGAUAACUUUUCCGCUUAUAAGUUUGAAAAUCACAUGCAAUUUUUAAAAAAACUUAUAUGUAAAUAAGCCCAAUAAAAUCCUGCAGCAAUUUCAUUUAAGGCUUGAAGAAAGAAAUAGUGCAGCUUUUAGUUGCAAUAAAAUUUCUAAAAUUAAUUCAUUUAAUAUAGAUUAUAAAAAAAAAGACUCUUAUUGUUUUAGUCAAAAAUUAGGCCCCAUAAAAGUAAUAGGCAUGACAGACGAGUCUGGUAGUGCUAUAGUAUCGGCGCAUUGUUUCUUGGGUGUUGAAAGCUACUUUCAAGAACCAUUGGAAUCGUCAACUGGUUUAGGUAUUUUGUUGGCAAAUAAAUUAGAUCCACAAUUGUUUAAAAUCGAAAAAGAUGAUAUAGUUUAUAAAUAUUUUUCUAUUCCACAUGAGGGCAAGUUUCUUCUUAUACCAAUUUUACAUCAUCUAUUUCAUGAAUUUUCAAAUUAGUACUAUUUAAAGUAAUUGUGGUAUUUUCCGAAUGUAUUUUAUUUCAUGAUAUGAAUUAUUUAAAAGAAUUUUGAUACUGCCAAUUUUUUAUUUUACGAACAGAUGGAUUCACCAGCCCUCUUUGAUGCAAUUGAUUUUGAAGAAUUCCCAACAACGUCUUCGACUCCUGUAAAAGGUAUAACAACUGACACUGAAGCGCAAAAAAUUUGAUAUUUCUGGUUGCUACAACUCAGAGGAAAACGAAAUGAAAACAAUUUGGCUGUGGAUUGAAAUGAAGUUUUUAAUAUGUUAAAAACUAUUUCUGCACAAUUAGAAGUAUUGACGACAAGAGUAUCCAAUAUGGAGAAAAAGAUGGACAGCUAUAUGAAAGAAAAUAUAAUUCAUAAAAGCGAAGAAAUGGCCCAAAAAAAACUGUGUGAGAAUGUAAGGUUUUAAUUAGAAAAAUUCACCAUUCAGUAUGCCGACUGACUGGUGAAGAAAUAGAUGGUAUGCAAACCGAAGUUGCCUCCACGCUACCAAUAAACUGAAAUGCGAGGAAUUUGCUACUGCAACGAAACAGUUUAUUUUAAAAACAAAGGGAAAUUCAGAUAAUUUACAUGAUAUGCUGAGACAUACAUACAUAUAUACACUGACGAAUUUUUGUUUUUGUGUAACUGGGACGGUAGAGGAGGGAAACAACCCCUAUCGAAAUUUCUACUGGCAUCUAACAUAUUAUAUGAUUCUUUCGUUACUUGUGGACUGGCGAAUUUCGAAAAAUAAAUUCGGAAGUCCAUCGAAAUGAGCCACCAUAGGUACAAACAAAAGAAAUACAGGAAGCGAAAAGCUGUGGAGGAAUCGAACGAAUCCAAAUAAAUAGAUAAUAAUUAAAAAAAAAUGUAGUAGGAUUUAAGAAUGUAUAAACAAAAAUGAAUUUUAAUAGUGUAACUAU